UCCGGGGCUGCUCUUGGCCAUUUCCCCAAAUGCAGAUUGUCUUGUCCUGCAAGGUUUCUGCUGCCAUCAUCUUCCUGUGGAUGAAUUUCCAAUGAAGCCAGGCAGACGACCUUCCCCUGGCCCCUCCUGCCUCGCUCCACCACUCCACUCCACAUGGGUCUGCUCUGGAGGCCAGCCCACUUGGCUUCUGGCUUAGGAUUGCAUUUAGCCAGUUCAAGGUGGCAGGAGAUGGGACCCAGGGCUUUAUGCAUGCUGGACAAGCGCCUCAGCCCACACCUUUGCGAACCGACCUCCUACGACAUGCUCACCCAGCUUGAUCAACUACAUACCUCAUGUCCUCCUCACACAGAGGGGCAAAGGCCUUCUUCAUUAAAGGAAACAACGCAGGAUCCAUUUUUGACGAUUCUGAGGCCAGAAAUAAUGGAAGGCUCAGGAAGCCUUGAAGUAAACGUACCUGCUCCAUUGUCACUGCGGUUUCUGAUAGCUCCCACAGUUCAGAGUCAGCCUCAUUCCUAUGGAGGCUCAACACUCUCCUCAGGUGAACCUUGCUCUACC
rnacentral:lncRNA from 14 species